rnacentral:rRNA from 1 species
GGACUACUGGGGUUUCUAAUCCUGUUCGCUCCCCACGCUUUCGUGCCUUAGCGUCAGAUACAUGCCAGCAAGCUGCCUUCGCCAUUGGUGUUCCUACUGAUAUCUACGCAUUUCACUGCUACACCAGUAAUUCCACUUGCCUCUCAUGUCCUCUAGUAAUCCCGUAUGCAGUACCGUCGCAUGGUUGAGCCACACAAUUUCGCACUGCACGCAAAUUACCACCUACGCACGCUUUACGCCCAGUGAUUCCGGAUAACGCUUGGACCCUACGUAUUACCGCGGCUGCUGGCAC